CCCCCGCUUAUCGAGCUGGCUACGCCACUGGUCUCCCUUGAGAAGUACUGCCAAACUUACCAUCGUUUCUGCUGCUCUAAAAUUGUGUCGUUAUAUUUACGAGUUGCAUGGAAGAUAUUGCCCUGAUCCCCGCAAUAUCUCUCGGCGGUCCUCCUAAUUAUACUAAGCCUAAGAACCCGUUUGUAUGAUACAUCCCAAUACCUCCCGC